CCUACGGGUGGCAGCAGUGGGGAAUAUUGGGCAAUGGAGGAAACUCUGACCCAGCAACGCCGCGUGAAUGAUGAAGGUCUUCGGAUUGUAAAGUUCUUUUUGAAGGGAAGAAGAAAGUGACGGUACCUUAGGAAUAAGCCUCGGCUAACUACGUGCCAGCAGACGCGGUAAUACGUAGGAGGCAAGCGUUAUCCGGAAUGACUGGGCGUAAAGGGUGCGUAGGUGGUUUGAUAAGUUGGUAGCGUAACUCCGAGGCUCAACCUCGGCACUACUACCAAUACUGUCGGACGUGAGUGCAGGAGGGGCAAGUGGAAUUCAUAGUGUAGCGGUGGAAUGCGUAGAUAUUAGGAAGAACACCAGUGGCGAAGGCGAGUUGCUGGACUGUAACUGACACUGAGGCACGAAAGCGUGGGGAGCAAACAGGAUUAGAUACCCCUGUAGUC
rnacentral:rRNA from 1 species